GUUUCUGUUUUUUCUUUGCAUGCAGAUGAUUCCUUAUUGCUUUCUUUGAUUAUGUUUCUAUUCUUUUUAUCAUCUCUUUAGGGUUUUGCUCGAUUUUUUUUAACAUCUGAUAUAUCGUCGUUGAUCUCUAAUGAUCAACCCUUGUUGUUGAUCUUCUUGCAUCGAUUUCGCGACUGAUCGAUCCAUCGAGAUUUUACAUAAGCAUCAAUUCUUGUUGAUCCAUUCAUCGACCCUCGUCGAUUCUUAUCAUCAACCCUAGUUGAUCGGAACCACCAACCCUCGUUGACAUAUCUAUUCAACGCUUGUUGUCGUUGAUCAACAAGCAGUAGUCUGUAUAUCUUCUAAUGAAAGAAGGAAGGAUCUUGUAGAUCGCAUAUUUGGAAUGGAAUGUUGAGUUUUUCAGGCCUGUCCAUCGAGG